UAGGGAAUCUUCCGCAAUGGGCGCAAGCCUGAUGGAGCAACGCCGCGUGUGUGAUGAAGGCUUUCGGGUCGUAAAGCACUGUUGUAUGGGAAGAAAUGCUAGAAUAGGGAAUGAUUCUAGUUCGACGGUACCAUACCAGAAAGGGACGGCUAAAUACGUGCCAG
rnacentral:rRNA from 1 species